rnacentral:sRNA from 1 species
AAAAAAAAAUUUAAAAAAAGAGGGAUGCAACACGAGGACUUCCCAGGAGGUCACCCAUCGUAGUACUACUCUCGCCCACGCACGCUUAACUGCGGAGUUCUGAUGGGAUACGGUGUAUUAGUGCUGGUAUGAUCGCAUCUGUUAGUAUAUGCAAUGCAAUUGUAUAUAUU